CACGUAGGGUGCGAGCGUUGUCCGGAAUUAUUGGGCGUAAAGAGCUCGUAGGCGGUGUGUCGCGUCGGCCGUGAAAACCUGCAGCUUAACUGUGGGCUUGCGGUCGAUACGGGGCAUCACUGGAGUUCGGCAGGGGAGACUGGAAUUCCUGGUGUAGCGGUGAAAUGCGCAGAUAUCAGGAGGAACACCGGCGGCGAAGGCGGGUCUCUGGGCCAUAACUGACGCUGGAGGAAGCGAAAGCGUGGGGAGCGAACAGG
rnacentral:rRNA from 1 species